AUUUCAAAACACAAGCAGCUAGUAAUAUUGUCGUCCACGUGGCAGUCACCGACGAGCAACGACGCGCAUUGAGCACUAUCCCUUUCCCCCUUUGUUUGGCAUCCCCAUUCAAUUCCACAAUCUUCCAUCUUCCGUUCCACGACAAUGCUCUGCUCGCCUCAAACCGCUAAAUCCGGUUCAAACUGGCUCGACCGCCUCCGGUCCAACAAGGGCAUCCCAACCGGCGACGACCUUGACCUCGACUCCUUCCUCCUCACCGCCCAUUCCCAUUCACCACAGGCCCGCCCCAACAUCCCGCCCCAGGCCCGUCAAUCCGAAACCCGCGACCCUCCAAUGAGCUCCGUCCUCGCUGAGCUCUUCAACAUGGGCGCCACUCUCACCAAAACCUCCAAAAAAUGCCCAAGGAAACAGACAAACCCUAAAAUCUUCGUCGCUUCCUUCGCCGCCAACACACGCAGCGCCGCCGCCCCCGCCGCCGCUCCCAGCGCCGAUGCGGUGGUGCCCGAGGAGGAUGAAGUGGGCGCGGAUCGCGGCGAUGAGGAUGAGAUCGAGAACGAGAAGGAGGGGAACGAGUUGAAGGGUUUCACGAAGAGCGAGGUGACGGUGAUCGACACGAGUUUACCCGGUUGGAAGGUGGAUAAGUUCGUGUUCAGGAAGAACAACGUGUGGAAAGUCAGAGAGAGGAAACUGAAGACCAAGUUCUUCGCUAAGAAGAAGAGCAAUUCCACGUUCGUGCCACGUGAACUUGAUGUCAAUGGAUUUGAGACCUCCAAGUAAGAGCGUACGUCGCUAUUGUUACUACAAAUAUUUGUUGUUUCGAUCCGUCGAAUGUUUUUUAUUUUGUGGUUUGAACUUGGAAGGUAUUCAUUGCUAAUUCAUUUUGUCAGCGCUCUGUAUAAGCAUAGAAAUUUUGAUUUUUGAACUGUGUUACUCUUAUCAUGUGCUAGGACCUUCGCUGCUGGCUUUAUUUUGGCGUGUUUAUGCAUUGGGUGUUGCUGUUAUGGAAUGUCUUGUGUUGUUUGUUCGUUAUUGCAUGCUUGGAAAAUGGUGGUAUCUUUAUAUUUUAUGUUGGUUUCGGCAGAUUGACUCCUUUGCUGUUCAAGAUUUGUGUUGGUGGGGAUUUGGAGUGGUAAUAUCAGUGUUCGUUUAAUUAUUUAUGGUGGUUUCACCAUCUCACGUACGAAAGGUUAUUGGUGAACAAUAAAACUGCAACUUCUAGUGCAAUAUUGGAAAGUGUUUAAUGUCCUUGCUAUUUAUUAUGAUUUCAUGGGAUCUAUCUCACUAUUUCAUAGCCCUUUCCACCGGAGUUUUAUUAUGUUGUUUAUAACAUUCUAUUUUUAGGCUUGUUUCAGGAACCAUCAAAUUUCCUGUUCUGAUUUCUGUUCUUAAACUUGAUAAGGUUGGCUAUACCAUGGUAGUAUUGUUAUUUUACUUAGGUUACAAUAUCAGAAAUGUCAGUUCAUUUUUUUGGUGACAUUUAGAUGCUUAUGGUGCUGACAUGGGUAAAUUGUGUUUAAUUUGGUAAAAACUUAUACUUCUAAUUGGAUUCUCACAAGCUCUAUGCUAUGUUUUAAGAGUUUUCUGUGUAUUGAUGCGUCCAGUGUACUGAAUCAGAGUGCUCCUUGUAGGCCAACCCUCUUCAGAAUUUUAUAGCAUUUUCAAUUCUCCUUCUGCUUCGUAAUUAAUAGAGAAAGAAAAUAUAAGAAAAAAAAUAUAUCCUAACUAUAAAUGGGCAAAUUGUCGUCUUGCAACUAUGGGGGUUGAUGUGGUGCUUAUGGCCUCCUAAUUCUCUUAUUGAGAUUGGCUUGUUGAUUUGUUGAUAUCCUUGUUUUGCCCUCUCUCUCAAAGACAAGUAUAAUGAUGAUUCUUUCAACUACAUACUGCUGUUGUUUGUUGAACAGACCACGUGACAUCCAACAGUAAAAUGAAAAGAAGGUUCAUCAUUAUGAUUAACUUUACUGGUAGGAGUAGGAGACUCUGUUAUGUACAAGCUUACUGAGAAAGCCUUUAAGCAGCUCAGUUUUCUAUUUUCUUUCUAUUUUAUCCUGUUCAUAAUUAAUUUUAGAGUAAUAAUACUCUAACAUGCAUUUCACUGUUUCUCUAUCAGCCAUUGUCUAUUUAACUAGCUCUUCGUAAACAUUUUUCUAAAUUGGCUUAAGUUAUUCCCACAACCGUUGGGAGACAAUUAAUCAUCAUCUAUAAUUUUAUCCUUAAUUGUUCCUUGUCGUUAAAAAGAUAUGAUUGCAUUAAAUACCAAUGAAUAGUAUUCUCUUCAUACUUUUUAGCUUUUAACACACAUGACAUUACAAUGCAGCAUGAAUUUACUCUUGCAUUAUUAGAUUUUUAUAAAUUGUGUUGUUGGUGUUCAGUUUGUUUUGAUAUUACCACUCUACACCUCCCUCUAACUUUCCCUUUAGCUUUUUGAGAAAUUUUCACAAGACAUCUCUAUGUUGCCUUGAUCUAGAACAAGCUAGAUUUCUGUCAACAGCUGUUGAUACAUGUGAUUGUUUCUACUUACUGAUAAGUUGUAACACUUUGCAUUUGCUCUCUUUGUUCUAUCAGUUGAUAUAGUUGAUCCGUUAAUUAAUGUAUAUUAUGCUGAACCAUGUUUCUUUUCACUUUGUAAGUCAAGUGAUUAUAUGGCAUGCCUUUUACCUUUGAAAUAAGUUACAAUAAGCCGAUUAAUCAGGAUGAAAAAAUGUUGUUUUAUUUAUAGUCAUUGCUUAGAGCUAGUAACACAUUUCAUGGAUGUGGUAUGCUACAAGUAGAUACAAUUGUGCAGUCAUGGGAUUUUUUAUAUUUCUUGUGCUGUCAUGUUCAGGGACAAUGUAAUCAACAUGAAAGCGGAGAAGCCUGUAAAGAUACAAAAGAUGAUCUAACUUAUCCCAAAAGGAGGCAAGUGGACUUACUACUAGCUGCUUGUGGUUACUGAUUAUUCUUUUGAUGCUUUAAACAGGCUAUUUUGGUAGAAAGUAAUUAAAGUGCAGGGAAUGAAAGGAGAUUGAUAUAUCUAGACUACAAGGUCUUCCAAAAAAUCAAGAAAGGAAAACACAUCUUCAUUUUAAUAAAAGUCAUCCCUUGUAGAAGAGCAAAGGAACAAAAACAAAGUUUAACAAAACUUAAGAGAGUCAGAAAAUAAUUCCGUCUUUACAGGUCAUUAACUUUAAAUUUUAAUUUGGCUGCAGCAAAUUAAGAUGCAGGCUUUGUCUUUGUGCUAUUUGAUAGUGGCAUACUGGUCUUCCAUUGGCAUUUAUCUAUUAAAAACUGUCCUCUUGAAAAGAGCUUGGAUUAAGUGACAUUUGGAGUUCUAAACAUGCAUUGUAGCGUCAAAAUAUUUACCUUGUAAAUUUUGGUUCCAUUUUCCUUAACUGGGAAGAAAUUUUUCCCCUUAUAUAAGCCGUAAGUUGCU